rnacentral:rRNA from 2 species
UACGGAGGGCGCGAGCGUUGUUCGGAAUUACUGGGCGUAAAGCGCGUGUAGGUGGCCUGGCAAGUCGGGUGUGAAAUCCCGGAGCUCAACUCCGGAACUGCAUCCGAUACUGCCAGGCUCGAGUCUCGGAGAGGAUGGCGGAAUUUCCGGUGUAGAGGUGAAAUUCGUAGAUAUCGGAAGGAACACCAGUGGCGAAGGCGGCCGUCUGGACGAUGACUGACACUGAGACGCGAAAGCGUGGGGAGCAAACAGG